UGUAAUAAAAAUACCCAACAAAAAAGAAAAAACGAGUUUAUUGACAACUCGUCAUCGUCAUCGUCAUCGUCUUCCCCCUUUAGCGGAAUUAGGGUUUGCAGAGUUGCUCUUUGCCUUCUUCUCAAAUUGCACCUUCUUCAUCUUCGGCUAAUAACAACUCCUAGAAUUUUUUUCAUUGGAACUAAAUUGGAACUUAUGGGUCAUAAACAAGAGAAUACUAGCAAUGUGAAGAAAAUAAAUUCAUCAUGUGAUGUUGAGGCUUUGAGAAAGUGCUUGGAAGAGAACAAAGGGGACUAUGUUAAAUGUCAGUCACAGAUUGAGGCUUUUAAAUCAUCAUGCUCAGUCAAGAAACCAAAUUCUUCGCUUGAUUCUUCACCACCACUCAAGACAGGUGUUUGAUUGACAUUGUGUUAUUAUCAUGGCUUUGAUUUUGAAUUGUGAUUUUUUUUUACCAUUGAAAGGAACUAAAAAGAAAUGACAUUGUAGUUUGUAUUAUUUCUUCUGUUAGUUUUCUUUAUACUUUAUUCUGUUUUUCUUGGCUUUUUUAUCUGCUUCUAACUGCAUUUUGAAGAUCCUAGCUUGGGAUUCACUGUCACUGUUGUUUAACUAUAAAGGGUAAAGCAUCAAAGCCUCUUGUGUGCAGUGUGCAUGUAUUAUAU